AGUCAACCCUUUGCUAAGCAGUUCCGGAAAAAUGGGGGUAAAACUCAGCUUGUGACACCAGCUGUCAGAGCCCAACUCUGUAUGGCCAUCCUCCCCUCAGCACAUUCCCUGCUUCUCUGGCAGCUCUUCUCGAAAUGUUUGAUAGAAGAGCUCCAUGCACAGUUCUACUCAUCUUACCAGAAGAGCAAUCGACAUAGCAUUGUUUACUUACCAACCAACAGCUCCAAUAAUGUCAGGCGUCCUUACCUUCUCUGUUCUCUUUCAGGGCCCACAGAGAUGAAUGUUGCUACUACUGUAAACGUGAAUAAUUUGAGAGAGGUAGCUGCGGAUUUUCUGCACAGCAUCUCUGAGAUCAUGCAGAAGGCAGAGUCUGAAGCAAUGCCCCACUCCAAAUCGCAUGAUAAUCCAUUGAAAUCAGAGGCAUGGAUUUUGUGAAUUCCUUCCACCAUACUAGGCACAGAAUAGGGUCGAAUUAGCCUGUGAACUGUUGACAAAAGAGGAACUCAUCAUCUCUGGAUUAGAAUAAACGAAUGCAAAACCAAAAUAACAACAAGAAAAUAUUAAUGGAAUAAAUUUGCUUAUUUUGUGUG